CAAAAACAACCAAACAAAACAGCCAAUGCGACCAAACCCCUUUCCGACCUCCUGCGCUCCGUUCGGAUAGCAGCUCCGGGCAGGUAUACAGAGCCGCACUAACUCGGGCUCAACGGGGAGCGACUUUUGUGCUCAGAGAACCCCCAGAUCAGCUCCCGGGAUGGAAAGGAACUGUAACUUCUGCUGCUCAGGUCUGUGGGAGGCUGGUCCCUCUUUGAACAUCUGGAGUGGUGUGUGGCUGCAUUCAUUGGAAGAGGAACCCCACGUGGAAAACCAGGGCCAGAGCUAAAGGCAGGAUUCAACUCCUCUUCACCCUUGAUGUGCUGGCCCAGCUCCAAGGAGAUGCUAAGGUAGCAGCUCAUACAACUCUGCUGGCUUUGGAAGGGAGCUUGGGAGUCCCCAGAUCCUUCUUGUUCGUGUAUUGGCUCCAGUCUCAUCACUUACAUGGAGAUUUGCUUGCAGUUGGGUUUUGCUGGAAGAUGAAGAGCAGGAAGCUCAGUAAGAAGAGCCACAUCCAAUGUUUCAGUGAGGGACUUCAGGAACCAUCGUUCUUCCCUAAAAAUGACAUGCCUAGAUUCCUCUGGCCACCCUGGGUUAUCUUCCACGUGGCCAACAGCAGUAAUUUUCUGUGAUCUAGGAAUAUCCCACUAGGCUUUCUAUUUCGCACUGUAAAUAAGUGGUUGCUUUUAACUCACUCCUUGUCAUAAUUUCACACACUCCUUGGUGUAUCAGAGCAUAAUAAAGAAGAUCAGAAGCCACAGUGCCUGACGUGGCUGCUUUACAUGUCUGCUCAAGACAGCCCUCACCAAAA
ensembl:lncRNA